CCCUUAGAUGUUCUGGGCUGCACGCGCGCUACACUGAUGCGUUCAACGAGUUUUUAGCUUAUCUGAUAAGAUUGGCUAAUCUUCUGAAAACGCAUCGUGAUGGGGAUAGAUUAUUGUAAUUAUUAAUCUUCAACGAGGAAUUCCUAGUAGGUGUGAAUCAUCAGUUCACGCCGAUUACGUCCCUGCCCUUUGUACACACCGCCCGUCGCUCCUACCGAUCGAAGAGUUAGGUGAAUUGUUUUGAUCGAUAAGAUUUGACUAUGGUCAACUCUCGUUGUGAAAUUCUGUGAAUCUGACUGUUUAGAGGAAGGAAAAGUCGUAACA
rnacentral:rRNA from 1 species